rnacentral:tRNA from 1 species
GGGGCGCUAGCUCAGUUGGGAGAGCAUCAGAAUGGCAUUCUGGGGGUCAGCGGUUCAACUCCGCUGCGCUCCACCA